UGAGCGAUUGCUGAAUGAGAAGGUAACUUCUUAUUGAAAUUGUUUUAGGGAAAAAAAAAAAGAAGGUAAUUUUAGGUUUAUAGAAUCCUUUGCUGCAAGCAGGGUACACUUCCAGUUUUGACUCUCAUGGAGAUGGUAUACUUAAGACUUUCUCUUUGCAGCAUCCAGAUUGGAGAAUUACUUGUAGCUAAGCUAUGGGAUAGGAUAAAAUAAUAUAUAAUAAAAAAAAUAAAAGAGCAAAUUCAUUUUUUUUAUUGAACUUUCUGAGCUGGCUAUUUGAAGUUGGCCCCUUUGCACUAUUUCAAUCCUUGGCCAUUAUGUUGUUGCCAACAAAUUGUGCUUUUGAUAGGUUUUUCCUCUUAACAUGGUCCCUUCGGCAACUUUAACAUGAAUUGACUUCCUCCAUCUGCAAUGGAUCCAAGGAAAUGCCUUAAACUAGUGAUUUAUUAUUUGCUGACUUAAUUACUUGUAGUCAAGCUACUGGGGGAAAAAAAUAGAGACUCUGUGAUAGGUUUGGCUGCUUACUUUGAAGUGGAGUGUACCAUCGUUCAAGUAUGGUCUACCAUCGUUCAAGUAUGGUCUGCCAUCAACUAUUGAUGUUGAUUUCAUAUUCUCGAUGAUGUUUGCCUUGAGCAAUGCAUCUAGUUUUGUUCUCAUUGCCAUUUGUAGAGAGGUGUAUUAAAUUAAACUAGUGUCUAAUAAGUUUAUAUUUUAAUUGUCUUUUCUAGAAUGUGAAAUACUAUGAUUUUCUCAAACUUUUGGAGUCAUCAAUGAGAAAAGAAAAGUAAAUUAAAAAUCUGUGUGUACCAUUGUACAUCUGUGACCAAUUCUCAAUUUUAGCUACAUUUGUAUGUCUAUUUCAUACUGCAAAAAUUUAAUCCUAUAGCUUGUCCUCUGCUGCUUAGUUUUUUUUGGUUCUCUGAAACCGCUUAAAAAAAUGUGAAUGAGUAAGAUUAUGUUUACUCAAUAUCUAUUUUUAUAGUAGGUGCUUCAUCUCAAAUGCUAAGGUUGUUGAACAUGGUUUUAUUUAUUGCUUUGGCAAUUGGUGUUAGUUACUG
rnacentral:misc_RNA from 1 species